rnacentral:rRNA from 1 species
UACGUAGGUGGCAAGCGUUGUCCGGAUUUACUGGGCGUAAAGAGCGCGCAGGCGGUCGUUCAAGUCGCGUGUGAAAGCCCCCGGCUCAACUGGGGAGGGUCACGCGAUACUGAUCGACUCGAAGGCAGGAGAGGGUAGUGGAAUUCCCGGUGUAGUGGUGAAAUGCGUAGAUAUCAGGAGGAACACCGGUGGCGAAGGCGGGUCUCUGGGCCGUAACUGACGCUGAGGAGCGAAAGCGUGGGGAGCGAACAGG